rnacentral:lncRNA from 1 species
AUGGAGGUUUGCCGAAGCCAUCCUAGCGGGUCAAUCCGAGAGCUGCGUUCCCAUUGGCUGCGCCAUGCUCCGCCUCGGCCGGCCUGCCGCUACCAUUGGCUCUGCGGAGUAUCAGGCUGGCUCUCAUUGGCUACCGAGGUGUCGCUCCCGCUCUCUCUGCUCCGGGGCCCGGGGAACUAUUUUCCAUUCGGCGGAGGGGGGUCGGGGAGGGGGUUUCGGCGGUGGCACCGUGCUCGCCGAGCGGCAGGCGGCGGAGGAUGCUGCGGCCGUUGGGGCCGCCGGGACGGCGCUGAGGCGUCGCUGUCCGCGCUGCGGCGUCAGCGGUUUGUUAAUGGGACAUCUGCAGUGACACUUGGUUUCCCCAAGAAACGCAGAAGCCCUAAGUAAUCAUGUCCACAACUCAGAGAAGGAAUCUAGCAAGUUCAUGCUGAGGUAUAUUCGCAAGUCAAGAUACAGUGGCUCAUGUUUUUCUGGGUAAGAAAGAUAUCUGUGUGCUCUUAACUAUGACAAAAAGUAGUUAAACUUUAAAACUUAACUUUCAGAAAGUAUUUUGUCAAGCUGAUAUGGUGGUAAUUUUGUGAGUGGUUUGUUUUUGUUUGUUUUUAGUUGGGUUUUGGAGGCUUUUGGGCAAGCCUAGAGGAUUUCCAACCCACUUAACAGCCUAAACAUAUUUUGGAGUAAUAGUACAAAGGAAGAGGAAUAGCAAGCAACUUUCAAAUAAAAUACAUUACUGAACAGUGCA